AGAGUUUGAUCCUGGCUCAGAACGAACGCUGGCGGCGUGGAUAAGACAUGCAAGUCGAGCGAUCGUUAACGGGUAGCAAUAUUCGUUAACGGGAGCGGCGCAAGGGUGCGUAACACGUGGGUAAUCUGCCGUGAAGUUUGGGAUAAUCCCGCGAAAGCGGGACUAAUACCGGAUGUGACCAUUGGGAGGCAUCUCUUGAUGGUUAAAGUUGGGGACCGUAAGGCCUGACGCUUCGUGAUGAACCCGCGGCCUAUCAGCUAGUUGGUGAGGUAACGGCUCACCAAGGCUAAGACGGGUAGCUGGUCUGAGAGGACGACCAGCCACACUGGAACUGAGACACGGUCCAGACACCUACGGGUGGCAGCAGUCGAGAAUUUUUCACAAUGGGCGCAAGCCUGAUGGAGCGACGCCGCGUGGGGGAUGAAUGGCUUCGGCCCGUAAACCCCUGUCAUUUGCGAUCAAACCUCAUUAUUUAAAAGAUGAUGAGUUGAUAGUAGCGAAAGAGGAAGGGACGGCUAACUCUGUGCCAGCAGCCGCGGUAAUACAGAGGUCCCAAGCGUUGUUCGGAUUCACUGGGCGUAAAGGGUGCGUAGGUGGUGGGGUAAGUCGGAUGUGAAAGCUCGGAGCUCAACUCCGAAAUGGCAUUGGAAACUACCCUGCUAGAGGAUUGGAGGGGGGACUGGAAUACUUGGUGUAGCAGUGAAAUGCGUAGAUAUCAAGUGGAACACCAGUGGCGAAGGCGAGUCCCUGGACAAUUCCUGACACUGAGGCACGAAAGCUAGGGGAGCAAACAGGAUUAGA
rnacentral:rRNA from 1 species